rnacentral:rRNA from 1 species
CCUACGGGUGGCAGCAGUGAGGAAUAUUGGUCAAUGGUCGUAAGACUGAACCAGCCAAGCAGCGUGCAGGAUGACGGCCCUAUGGGUUGUAAACUGCUUUUAUGCGGGGGUAAAAUCAGUCACGUGUGAUGGUUUGUAAGUACCGCACGAAUAAGGACCGGCUAAUUCCGUGCCAGCAGCCGCGGUAAUACGGAGGGUCCGGGCGUUAUCCGGAUUUAUUGGGUUUAAAGGGUGCGUAGGCGGCCUGUUAAGUGAGCCGUGAAAUGCCGUGGCUCAACUAGGGCAUUGCGGCGGAUACUGGCUGGCUUGAGUGUGCGGGAGGUAUGCGGAAUGCGUGGUGUAGCGGUGAAAUGCUUAGAGAUCAUGAAGAACACCGAUUGCGAAGGCAGCAUACGGAAGCACUACUGACGUUGAAGCACGAAGGCGUGGGGAGCGAACAGGAUUAGAUACCCGUGUAGUC